GAUGAACGCUAGCGGCAGGCUUAAUACAUGCAAGUCGAGGGGCAGCACGAAUAGCAAUAUUUGGUGGCGACCGGCGCACGGGUGCGUAACACGUAUACAACCUACCUAUAACAGGGGGAUAGCCUUUCGAAAGAGAGAUUAAUACCCCGUAAUAAAUUGAAUGGCAUCAUUUGAUUUUGAAAGCUACGGCGGUUAUAGAUGGGUAUGCGUCUGAUUAGCUAGUUGGUGAGGUAAUGGCUCACCAAGGCGACGAUCAGUAGGGGAUCUGAGAGGACUAACCCCCANACUGGUACUGAGACACGGACCAGACUCCUACGGGAGCAGCAGUAAGGAAUAUUGGUCAAUGGAGGCAACUCUGAACCAGCCAUGCCGCGUGCAGGAUGACGGCCCUAUGGGUUGUAAACUGCUUUUGUACCAGAGAAAACCUACUCACGUGUGAGUAGCUGAUAGUAUGGUAAGAAUAAGCAUCGGCUAACUUCGUGCCAG
rnacentral:rRNA from 1 species